UACAGAGGGUGCGAGCGUUGUCCGGAAUCACUGGGCGUAAAGGGCGCGUAGGCGGCUCGGUAAGCGUGCGGUGAAAGCCCGGGGCUCAACCCCGGGUCGGCCGUGCGAACUGCAGAGCUGGAGCACUGUAGAGGCAGGUGGAAUUCCGGGUGUAGCGGUGGAAUGCGUAGAGAUCCGGAAGAACACCGGUGGCGAAGGCGGCCUGCUGGCAGUAGCUGACGCUGAGGCGCGACAGCGUGGGAGCAAACAGG
rnacentral:rRNA from 1 species